AUUGAACGCUGGCGGCAGGCCUAACACAUGCAAGUCGAACGGUAACAGGAAGCAGCUUGCUGCUUCGCUGACGAGUGGCGGACGGGUGAGCAAUGUCUGGGAAACUGCCUGAUGGAGGGGGAUAACUACUGGAAACGGUAGCUAAUACCGCAUAACGUCGCAAGACCAAAGAGGGGGACCUUAGGGCCUCUUGCCAUCGGAUGUGCCCAGAUGGGAUUAGCUAGUAGGUGGGGUAACGGCUCACCUAGGCGACGAUCCCUAGCUGGUCUGAGAGGAUGACCAGCCACACUGGAACUGAGACACGGUCCAGACUCCUACGGGAGGCAGCAGUGGGGAAUAUUGCACAAUGGGCGCAAGCCUGAUGCAGCCAUGCCGCGUGUGUGAAGAAGGCCUUCGGGUUGUAAAGUACUUUCAGCGGGGAGGAAGGGAGUAAAGUUAAUACCUUUGCUCAUUGACGUUACCCGCAGAAGAAGCACCGGCUAACUCCGUG
rnacentral:rRNA from 1 species